GUGUUUGUGGGCGCGUUCGUCGGACGCAGGCAUUUCGAGCGCUUUGAGAGUUCCUAAGUGGUGCUCACCUCUUCGUGUUAGAGAUCACAGCGCUGCGCGGACGCACCUGUCUCCACGCUCCGGCGCCCGCGCACCCACGCGGAACUCUAGCAUCUCUGGACGACCGAUGACCUGCGUGACGCACGGACUUAUUAUUAAUAUUUAUUUUUCUGUGUAGCAUACUGCAUAACACCACUUAAGUGUACUCACUUAGUUAUAAUAUAGUAUUUAUGAUAAUUUCGUAAUUAUAUUGAAAUGUACCCAUUAUUUAAGUCUUCUCCAUAGGUGAUACAUGAUUAUGCAUUUAGAUGAAUAUUGCUAUUUGAUUUAAAAUAUUUCAUUUGCACUCUUACGUAGAAUAAAAUUUUAUAACUUAAAA